GCCGGCACGGGCGGCCGAGGGCGCUGCUCUUCUCCCGGGUCCUCUGAGUCUGCAGCUAGCUGCGAUUACAGAUAGGGCUUAGCCCCAGUGGCGAGCGGUCAGGGGCGCUUGCCCCUCCUCACCCCCUGCGGACCCAAUCAGAACUGAAUCGUGCCUCCUAUUGCCGACCUCCUCCCGGAGAAGGGGCCAAACCCCAGCGUCUCGCAGUGCGCUCAGACCACCGCCGGCACUUCCGGGAAGGGAGGCGCCGCGGGGCUCAGCGCGUGCGCACUCCGCGGCCACCGCCUCCCUCCGGCUCGGCCGCGCGCGGUUUCCCGCCUCGCGGCGCCCUCGCGGGGUCUGGGGAGGGUCGUCUAGGGGCUGCUGGUGUCUGGAUCGCCAUUCUGGUGUUUUAAGGGGAUCGUUCUGAGAAGAUGUUGCCGUGACUAAUGUAGUUGACACCACCGGACACCAGUUUACGCUGCAUUAUCUCCAGCUUGCACGAAUUCUAGGCUAAUAAGAAAGAGCAGCUUCACGUGUGUACUGAGCACUGUGUAUAAAGAACUGUCUUCACAUCCUGUGGGUUGCUAUGGGAUCAGCCUCCAGUGCCAGAGCUUCGUUGGUUAUGUGGUGAUUCCUAAACCAGCUUCCAGCUUCUGAAUCCAGCCUGGUCCAAUUCACAUAUUCCUUCAAGGCAGGCUGGCAAGUUCCACUCCUGUACUCUGGACUUGACCUUUCCCUUCAUCCUCUUACACCUCCCCCGGCCAUCCCUACUUAGCACUUGGAGCAUCUCCAGCGCAAGUUUGAGGAAUUUGCAAAACACACAACUGGACAAAGUGCCCUCACCUACUGCAGCCAUUUUGGCCUUUCCCAGAGAUAUCCUGGCCAUAAAAGAGCUGUCCAUAGGCCUUUCCUUCUAACUAGUAAUUGCACGUGGUGAAUAUGUCUAUUCCAAAGCUCCGAUUUGUGUGGCACCUGUUCAAAUAUAGUCUCUUGGGCUCCACCCCUUUGUGAUUUCCUAGAUCCGGGCAAGACCUAGGAAUCUUUACCAAGCUCCACAAGUGACUGAAUCCAUUACAUGGUCCAGCACCACUCUUUGAGAAAUACUGCCCUAAGGAAAUUACUUUAAAACGGAUCUAUUUGCAUGAGGUGUUCUCAUAAAACUAUUUAGGACAGAAAAAAAAAAGUUGUCAAGUCCCCAUACCCACUGUGGGUAUUGCUUCAAUGAAGCAAUGAUAUUUCACCAUUAAAUCUAAAAGAUUAAAAAAAACCCCAAAACCUGAAAGAUUGGAGAACCACAGCCUGAAGUAUUAGACCUUGAAUUACCUUAAAAUCAUCUAGUUCACUGCCUGAGUGCCUUGCUCAUUCUCACAAAUGUAUAAGUAACUUUGUCAUGGAUAUGUUUAUGAAUUUUAUACUUUUAAUGCUUUCUACAUUUUUUUCAAUUAGUAUAUAUUUAUUAUAUAAUUAGACAAAGAAACUUAUAAAUACGUAUCUGGUCCCCCAAAUAGAUGGAGAGGAGAGGGAGUUGGGGGAAAUUGGAGGGGGAGAUGAACCAUGAGACACCGUGGACUCUGAAAAACAGUCUGAGGGUUUUGGAGGGGCAUGGGGGUAGGAGGUUGGGUGAGCCUGGUGGUGGGUAUCAGGAAGGGCACAUAUUGCAUGGAGCACUGGGUGUGGAGCAUAAACAAUGAAUUCUGGAAUACUGAAAAGAAAUUUUAAAAAUAAAUAAAAAUUUUUUAAAAUCUGCAUAAACAUUAGAAAAAGUGAAAUCCAUACGUAACUGUACUGUUUAUUGUGCGUGCAUUUUUUUUUUUUCAAUAAAGGCUGAUUCUUUCUACAUCUAA